rnacentral:lncRNA from 1 species
ACAAUGAGUUACAAGGCACUAAUAGUUCUGGAUCCUUGGGUGGUCUCGAUGUCCGCAGAAGAAUUCCUAUAAAACUCAUCUCCAAACAGGCCAACAAGGUUAAGCCUGCCCCUCGGACUCAAAGGACUGUUAGCAGGAUGCCUGCAAAGGCCGCACAAGGUGAUGAAGAAGGAUUUGAUUAUAAUGAAGAACAGCGGUAUGACUGUAAAGGGGGCGAACUCUUUGGAAAUCAGCGAAGAUUUCCGGGACACCUGUUUUGGGAUUUUAAGAUAAACAUCUUAGGUGAAAAGGAUGAUACACCAGUUCAUUUCUGUGACAAAUGUGGAUUGCCCAUUAAAGUCUAUGGAAGAAUGAUUCCAUGCAAGCAUGUCUUUUGCUAUGACUGUGCUAUUUUACAUGAAAAAAAAGGAGAUAAGAUGUGCCCGGGAUGUAGUGAUCCUGUGCAGCGGAUUGAACAGUGCACACGAGGUUCUCUCUUCAUGUGUAGCAUUGUUCAAGGUUGCAAGAGAACAUAUCUGUCUCAAAGGGACUUACAAGCUCACAUCAACCAUCGCCAUAUGAGAGCUGGAAAACCUGUUACCCGUGCUUCACUUGAGAAUGUUCAUCCUCCUAUUGCCCCCCCACCAACUGAAAUCCCUGAUCGUUUCAUAAUGCCACCAGACAAGCAUCAUAUGAGCCACAUUCCUCCAAAGCAGCACAUCAUGAUGCCACCGCCUCCUUUGCAGCAUGUGCCACAUGAGC